AGCGAACGCUGGCGGCAGGCCUAACACAUGCAAGUCGUACGAAGUCUUCGGACUUAGUGGCGGACGGGUGAGUAACACGUGGGAACGUACCUUUUGGUUCGGAACAACUCAGGGAAACUUGAGCUAAUACCGGAUGAGCCCUUAGGGGGAAAGAUUUAUCGCCGAAAGAGCGGCCCGCGUUAGAUUAGCUAGUUGGUGAGGUAAAGGCUCACCAAGGCUACGAUCUAUAGCUGGUCUGAGAGGAUGAUCAGCCACACUGGGACUGAGACACGGCCCAGACUCCUACGGGAGGCAGCAGUGGGGAAUCUUGCGCAAUGGGCGAAAGCCUGACGCAGCCAUGCCGCGUGAAUGAUGAAGGUCUUAGGAUUGUAAAAUUCUUUCACCGGGGACGAUAAUGACGGUACCCGGAGAAGAAGCCCCGGCUAACUUCGUGCCAGCAGCCGCCGUAAAAC
rnacentral:rRNA from 1 species